AUUGAACGCUGGCGGCAUGCCUUACACAUGCAAGUCGAACGGUAACAGGUCUUCGGAUGCUGACGAGUGGCGAACGGGUGAGUAAUACAUCGGAACGUGCCCGAUCGUGGGGGAUAACGAAGCGAAAGCUUUGCUAAUACCGCAUACGAUCUACGGAUGAAAGCAGGGGACCGCAAGGCCUUGCGCGAACGGAGCGGCCGAUGGCAGAUUAGGUAGGUGGUGGGAUAAAAGCUUACCAAGCCGACGAUCUGUAGCUGGUCUGAGAGGACGACCAGCCACACUGGGACUGAGACACGGCCCAGACUCCUACGGGAGGCAGCAGUGGGGAAUUUUGGACAAUGGGCGAAAGCCUGAUCCAGCCAUGCCGCGUGCAGGAUGAAGGCCUUCGGGUUGUAAACUGCUUUUGUACGGAACGAAAAGACUCUGGUUAAUACCUGGGGUCCAUGACGGUACCGUAAGAAUAAGCACCGGCUAACUACGUG
rnacentral:rRNA from 1 species